GUUUUAAAUGAAGAGUUAGCAAAACCUAAUCUACAAGGACAUGAUGAAGAAGCAAAGUUUAAAGGAUUUAUUCCAAAGCCAAUUCCCAUAGUGAAGCCUAUUCCAAAACCAUUUCCCAUCAUUAAGCCUAUUCCAAAGAUAAUUCCUAUUGCUAAACCUAUUCCUAUUCCGAUUUAUAAGCCUAUAUCAAAAUCAAUUCCCAUUAUUAAGCCUGUUCCAAAGAUAAUCCCCAUUAUUAAACCAAUUCCAAUUAUUAAACCUGUACCAAAACCAAUUCCCAUUAUUAAGCCUGUCCCAAAACCAUUUAUAGUGAAAAAGCCUAUCCCUGUUGAGUCGGAGGAAUUUCUAAAACCAAAGCCUUUCUUCAAAAAGCCUAUUCCUAAACUACCACUUCACCCUAAAUUCAAGAAACCAAUUCUACCACCAUUGCCAAUUCACAAGCCAAUUCCAACUCCAUAAGAGGAUAAUACUCUAUAUCUCGAGCUAUAUAGUUAUCCGUUCCAUUUCUAAUGCCUUUAUAAGUAAAGCUGCAUCGUAUCUCAAUUAAAUUUCGUACUCUUCUCGUAUACUGUAAUGGAAAAUAAGUAGUUGAUGCUCUCUGUUCAAUGAAGUUCUCGGUGUUAUCAUGUGUAGAUCGAUUAUAUUAAUGCAAGAGAUUGUAUAUGCAGUUAUUACUUAUUAUUUAAAUAAUGUUUUUUAAUAGUUUUUCAGUUUUAUAUUUUAUGAAUAUAUACUUAAUUGUGAGAGAGAGUGGGGCUCAUCGAUAAAUGUAGCAAUUUCUGCGAGAGAUAUAUCUUAACAAUUACAUUUAUCAUGAAUAAUAUUACGACAAGUAAAUCACUAAAUUAGUUCUUAAAAUUUUAUAGUUCAAAUCAAACAUUUCAUUUAGUAAGAUUUUAAAAGCCCUCUGUUAGUCCUUCAGUUUAUAAUAAAAGCAAAAGAAAAUUCCUCUUCUGUAAUAUUUUAUCAUUAUAUCAUUUUGCACUAAAAAGAACUAAAGUGAAAAAAAUUUGCAAGAAAAUAAAAUCAGUAAAAUUUUUUUUUGUCAAAUUAGGGGAUUGACAAAAUUAAUUAAUUUAUAAGAUCAAAUAAAACUUACACAAAUAUUACUAAAAAGAAAAAAAAACAUCAAUUCAUAGUUUCCUGACAAUAAAUAUAUGUGUAUUUGUUUAUUUUGUACUCUUUUGUUUGUUAAAAGAAUUUAAUAGUAAAGUCUAAUUCAAACUUAUAAAACUAGGUUAAAUAUUUAUUAAUUCAUUAAACUUUAAAUUAAAUUUAAAACAAAACCGUCAACCACGUACAUGAGAUAAACUCUUAGGUAUCAUCUGUCGAAAUAAAUGGUGAUGUUUGAUAAUCUUUUUCAUUGUGCCUUUAAUGGCCCUAUCUAUUUUAGCUACAGUAGUUUAUCAAAUUUUCACCUCAUCAUUUUCGGCAUCUUUAGAGAUAAUUAUAAAAUUUUGCUUCUAAACAUUUGACAUUAAGUCAUUAAUUAUAACAAUUGAUAAAGCGUCAUAUGUACCACUCAUGUAUUCCUAUUCAGUUUGUUGUUUUUCACGUCAAAUGCUAUCAACUAUCAAGUAUGAUCUAGUCAACAUUAUGGGAUGAGACAAUCACUUCAAGCUGUCUUUGUCUUGAAUUGGGUUGCUUAAUUUGGGCCAUGUCAUUUUCUUGUUUGGUUCUUGAAAGGGAAUUACUUUGGGCACCCUACAGUUUUGCUGGGACACCCAGCACCCUAGGUGAAAGGGCCAAAAUGCCCUUCACCCUAUUAAUAUAAAUAGGGCUACAUUAAUUCUUUCGUCCUGUGCUUCUUCGUGCUACAGUAAUUCUGCCGUUCCGCCACAAUGCUUCUUCCUUCGUGCUGCGCUUCUUUCUCCUCGUGGUGGUCUCCUUCAUUCUCCUUCUACUUCUUCAUGUUGCGGUUCUUCUUCUUCAUGGUUGUGGUUCUUCUUUUUCCUCUUUCUCCACUUCCCGUGCGGCUAUGGUUUUUCUUCUUUCCUUCUUCUUCCUCCACUUCCCGCGCCCCUGUUCUUCUUCUUCCUCUCCAACAAAAAAAUGACAUUUUUCUAGGAAAACCCCAUAUGGAUAUGGUUCAUAUAGAUUGCUAAUUUGUAUGAGUUUUUUUUUUUUUUUUGUUGAAUAAUUUUGUUUCAAUUUUUCUUCUUCUAAAUUUGUUUUUUUUUAAUUUUUGAUUUUUGAAUUAUUAUUUAAAUUAUUUCGUAGUAUAAUGUUAUUUUGUAAUGUUAGUGAAAUUUUAUAAUUUUUUCUGAUUUAUAUGUUAAGUACUGAUUUUAUUUAUAAAAAAUAUAUUAGUUAUUACUAAGAUUAGAUUAGAUUGCUAAAAUUAAGAUUAGAUUGGUGAAACAAUUAAUUUUUAAUAUUGUUAUAUUAUAUUUGUCUAACUUUUAAAAAAAAUAAAACAAAUAUUUAAAAGAUAUUGAAUUUGUUACUUAUGAAAAAUAUUGAAAUCAUAAUUAAAAAUAAUUUAAAUUUUUUAGUUACAACAAACAUUUAAACAAAUUUUUUAAUAAUUUAAAUUUGUUAUAAAAAUAUUGAAACAUAAUUUUUAAUUGUACAAUAAAUCUGUUAGUUAUAAAAAUUAUGAAACCAAAAUUUAAAAUAUGAUAAGAUUUUUAGUUUAAGAUAAUGAUUGAAAUCAAAUAUGAAAAAAUAUUUGAUUUAGUAGUUAUAAAAAAUAUUGAAACCAAAAUUUAAAAUAUGAUAAGAUUGUUAGUUUAAGAUAAUGAUUGAAAUCAAAUUUAAAAAUAUAUUUGAUUUAGUAGUUAUAAAAAAUAUUGAAACCAAAAUUUAAAAUAUGAUGAGAUUGUUAGUUUAAGAUAAUGAUUGAAAUCAAAUUUAAAAAUAUAUUAAAUUUGUUAGUUAUAAGAAAUAUGAAAACCAAAAUUUAAAAUAUAAUAAGAUUGUUAGUUUAAGGUAAAAUUAAAUUUAAAAUAAUAUUUGAUUUUGUAGUUAUAAAAAAUAUUGAAAUUAAAAGUUAAAAUGUGAAAUAUGAUAAGAUUGAUAGUUUAAGAUAAUGAUUGAAAUCAAAUUUAAAAAUAUAUUAAAUUUGUUAGUGAUAAGAAAUAUGUAAACCAAAAUUUAAGAUAUGAUAAGAUUGUUAGUUUAAGGUAAUGAUUAAAAUUAAAUUUAAAAAUAUAUUUGAUUUUGUAGUUAUAAAAAAUAUUGAAACCAAAAUUUAAAAUAUGAUAAUAUUGUUAGUAUAAGAUAAUGAUUGAAAUCAAAUUUAAAAAUAUAUUAAAUUUGGUAGUUAUAAAAAAUAUUGAAACCAAAAUUUAAGAUUUAAAAUUUAUUUAUUAAUCCCUAUUAUUUAAUUUUUUCAAAAUUAUUUUUGUAGAAAUUUUUUAUUCAUUUAUUUUAUUUACAAAAUUUGAUAAUUAAAAAAAUCUGAUAUUUAAUUGAAUGAUGUAUUUAGAUUUUUAUUAUAAUGAUUAAAAAUUAAAUAAAUAUGAUAUUUAAUUGAAUGAUGUAUUUAGAUGUUUUUUUAUAGCAAUUGAUAAUGAAAUAAAUUUGAUAUUUUUUACAUCUGUAAAUACUUAUUAAACCUAUCAUUUUUAUUUAUAAUUUAUAUAUGUAAAAAAAUUAAUUAUUAUAUAAAAAUAAUCAUUACAAAAUUUAUUAUGUAAAUUUAAAUAUACAUUAAAUAUAAAUUAAAAAUUUUAGUAUUAUAUAUAACGACACUAUUUACUUAUAGCAUAAUAUGUCUAUUAGUUCAGUUGGUUUGAUUGUUAUAUUGAACCCUCUCUAUCAUACCUUUGGGAAAGUUAUUCUACUUACAAAAUGGAUCGUCAAUUCUAGAAGAAAGCAUAAAUACCUCCUCUCUAAUAUUUACCAACUUGAUCAUUAAGAACAAAGGCUCAAGACUCUUCAAUGUACUCUAAGCUUCUUUUUUUCUUUUUUUGCUAUGUAAAGACAACUUAUAUCAAUUACAAAAGUUAACUAGUAAUGAGCUAAAAAAAAAACAAAACUCUUCCCAACGUUGUAUUUUGUAAACGAAGAAAAUAAAUUAAAAUAUGCCAUGAUAAAGAAAAAGUUGCUGUCAAUAAUAUAAUAGAAGAUAGGAUAUCAUCAUCGUAAUUAUUGUAAAGUAGUGGUAUUUCUAAUGUUAUUUCUUAGUAUAUAAAGCUCAUCCAUUCAUGAAACCAUUUAUGUAUUUCAAGUAAUAUUUUCAAAUUCAGAUAAACAAUUAACUAAACUUUCUCCAAACUUACUCACCAAAUUAGUAUCAUUGUGUAUUGUUAAAUUUAUUAUACUACAUAAAUUUUUCAUCAUAUCCAAAUUAAUUUUUUAAUUGUUAUUAAAGAACUUUCUAAUUAUUAAAAACUAUGUAAGGACACAUUUUUGUAACAGAUCUACUUAGCAUUUUUUGAAGUUGUUUGAUUAUGUUAUUACUUCACCCUUAAUUUUCGAUUCUUUGGUUUUCAUGAAGGUAUGCAUUGCAGAAUGGAGGUGCAGUGGAAUUUUCACUUGAAUUUUUUUUACUGAAAAUGUUCACACAAUCGAAGACCCAUAAUUGCAUUUUUUAUUAUUUAAAUUCUCGAUCUCUCUUUAGCUUUAAAUUAAGGGUAAAUUUUCAUUAGUUAAAUAUAAUGUCAAAUAAGGAUAUCUAAACUUUUAUUUGCAAUGAGUUUCUUCAAUUUUACGUGAUGGGAUUGUUUGCAUUUAUUUUAAUUGUUAUGUUUUGUCUAUUUUGAAGUUCUUUAUUGGCAAUGUAGGACAAAUCUUUUCUUAUGUCUUGGAUUAUGUGUUAGACAGUAAGCAAAAUCUCAUCAUCAUCUCCAUUUAUUGCAAGUAUAUAUGCUUGCAAUAGCAUUAUGCUAUGUUAGAUGAUUAAAAGAGAUGUAUUCUAUAUAUCAAUUUUUAAAUCACUAAUAUAAAUAUGUUCAGAAGAGAUAUUUUUAUUUUAAAUAUAAGAAUAUUUUUGGAUUUAUUUUUUGGGGUCUUCAAAUGUGUGAUGUUACAUUUGGCCAUAGGAGAUAUAUAUGGAUUGAUGUGCUCCAAAUGGAUGAAGUCAUACAAGAAACACCUUUCUCUAAUCAUUCUCUUUAGAUCAUCUAUCAAAAUUAUUCGUUCCACUUUGAUUUUAACUUAGAGAUGUUGCUCCAAGUCAGCAUUUUCCUUUUCUCUUCAGAAUUAGCUCCGAAUCAAGUUCUUGUUGCAAGACUAUUUUUCAUCAAUUAAAACUAAAUAUUCCCAGCCUGCCAAGAAUGCCUUCAAGCUAUAUGUUAGAAAUUAGAAGUGUUAUUUCUCAUCUAAUUAAUACAACACAUCUCACAUAGUUUUAUGAACUUUUAGAAUGUUGGGAUUCAAUCAAUCAAUCUAAUUUGAUUCUAACAGGCAAUCAUCAAACUUAAUCACAUGUUUUCUCUUCAUGUAAAGAGAAAUUACUGUAUAAAGAUGAAUAGAACCCCUCUGUGUUCUCAUACUCAAAAUCUUGAUGAAAACUAAGCUGUGGAAGUGUACCUGGAUUAACCAUAGUGGAAUGAUGAUGAAAAGUUGAUCAGAAGAUUGAUUUUAUGACCUUCCAAAUGUAGAGAGUCUUUUUUUUUUUUUUUUCUUCUUCUCUUAAAGUUUUAUCUUUAUGAAGUGUACAUGUUGGUUUGACUUAAGUUGCUUUCUACAAAUGGGGACCAUAACCCCUUAAGCCCCUUAUCAAAUUAACAAUAUCACUAGUAUCUACACAAUUAACCUUUCAUGAUAUCCCCUAGCCAUAUUUUUAUAUUGAUUAGACCAUUUUAAUAUUUUGGCUAAUUAUAUAAUGACCCUAACUCAUCAAAUUAUGUGAUAUAAACCCAAAAUUGCUACUAUAAAAAACUUCUAAUUUUUAAUUUAAAGCAUAAAAGUCUGAAAUAUUUACGUUGUCACCUAAGACAAAAAAUUCAUAGACUACGUUUUGGCCUAACUUAUUUAGAAGAUGAUCAAAAGUACAAAAUGAAAAUUAUUACACUGUCAAGUAUUUCAGUCUUAUAAAGUUACUUUUAUGUUUGAUAUAAAUACUUUCUUGUGACAAAAAUAAUAUUUGUUUUAAUAAUCAUGUCGUGAGUUUGCUUCUGUUUUGUAGAUUAUAUUCCCUUUUAAAAGUACUGAAACAAGAUUGAGCAAAGGUGUUCCCACUGAAAGUUGCCCUACAUUUUAUCAUAUAAGCAGUCUUUCAGAGGUGGAAACUUUUUGUUUGUAAAAACAUUUGAUAUUUGAAUACAGACUCAGACUCAUAGGUACAAGAUUAUUCUAAUUAUGCAAUUAUGUAUAUAUAUAUAUAUAUAUAUAUAUAUAUAUAUAUAUAUAUAUAUAUAUAUAUAUAUAUAUAUAUAUAUAUAUUACCAAAAGAAAUCUCUCUCUCUUGGUUAUUUAAAGAUAUCCAUAAAUUUUAAAAUGUUGUUGAUAAACUAAGAGGGUCAAUAAUUGAGUGCCUACAAGAAGAACAUAAAGACAUUUUUAUUUAACUUGAGGUCCAAUUCCUAUUAUUUUCAUGAAGAAAUAAUUCUUCACCUACAGAUCAAAUUCAUGAUUUGACAGAGGGAUCUCAAGAUGACAAAGCCUUCUCCAGCCUUGUUCUUUUGUUGGUGCAAUUGUCUUUUAUUGGACAAACUGUCAUCCCAAAAACCAUCAAGGAGAAGAUCCUUAGCUAUCUAAUAUAUUACUUUAAAUUAAUUUUUUCUAUUUGUUAUUUACUUUAAAUUUUAUUUGCAAAUUGUGGUAUAUUUUAGUCAAAAGGUGAUUAUUUCCUUUAAAUUCACAGAAAAAGUCAUACAAAUUUUGUAUAUUUUAUGAGUAUUAUAUUUUGUUUUGAAAGAAAAACUUAAUAUAUCCUGUAGAUUUUUAACAAAAAUAAUUUACAAAUAGGUUCUCUAACAUUUUGUAUUCACCGAAAGUAUAAAAGUCAUAAAAAAACCAUGAAAAGUCUUAUUAAUAAAGUGGAAAAAUCUAUUAUAAUAUCAUAAAAAGGUAAUUAAUAAAAUAAUAAUUAACAUUUAAAUUAUAUAAUUAAGAGUUUAAUGCACAUUCGCAUAUAUACUGUCAAUUUAACAUUUGUGUUAUUAUUGCUAUGGUGAUUUGUUAUUAAAUCAUUAUAUAAAAUACGUUACACUUGUAAUGUAUAACUUAUUUUCUUUUUAAUUAAAUAUUGAAAAUUAUGCAUAAAAAUGAUACCAUUAAAACUAGUAUAUUUAAUUUAUAUCUUAUAAUUUUAAAUAUUUUGGCAAGCUAUGCUAUUGGUGGUUAGUGUUUAUUUAUGGUUAAUUCGAUAACUUCUUCAUCGGUGACCCCAAUAAUAUAUAUAUAUAUAUAUAUAUAUAUAUAUAUAUAUAUAUAUAUAUAUAUAUAUCAGUCAUUAUUGAUUAUACCAUCAGUAUAACACUCUUAAUCAAUCAAUUUCUGCGAUCCUCACACAGUAAAAGUUCUCUCUCGCUUGCACCUAUUGCUCAGAUACCUUUAUCGAAUAUGCAUGCAUAUAGUUAACCUUUCAUUGUAAAUCUUUACGUUACUUACACAGUUACACUCCAUGAUAUAUACUACAAUGGCGUGUCAUGCUAUAUUAUUUGAAGAUUACCAACCAUAAAAGAAAAGAAACACCUAAAAUAGAAGGCUCAUUCAAUGGAAGGGAGCCAUGAAUAAUCUCAGCAACUAUAACGGUGUUAAACGCGAUCUCUCUAAACACACCUCCAACCACUCCCAAUAAUAAUAAUCACUGACCAAAUCUGAAAUCUCGGAGUGCAUUUCAAAAAGAAAGUAAUGACCAGUAGAGCCAUGAACGUACAAUUAGUUCCAAGCUAGGUAUUAUAAAUAAUGAGAGUAUGUGACAAGAGUAAUUCAAGCCUUCAAAUAUUUUCCUUUUUAGCUUUGAUUAGAGUGGCCUAGUUGUUGUUUUUCUCAAUGAGAAGGGUUUCCACUAUGCAUUGCGCACUUUGGCGCUUCUGUGUUCCCUUGUUGCUACUUGCUAGCUUCAGUUAUGCUCCUUUUGUUUUGGCCACUGAAAUUUCAGGUUUGUCGCUCAUCCUAUUACUCACACAUAUUCAUUUUGUUAUACAUUAUUUUAUGAAAUAUGAUGUUUCUUUGUGUUAGUCCUUAAUAAAAUAAAUUAUUCAUUUUAAUAUUUACAUUUGCCAAAACAGUAUAAUUUCUAAUCUAAGGACUUAAAAAGAUUAAAUUUAAAUAUGGGUUAAUUUUAAAAAAAAGUGUGGUAAUAUAUACCAAAAAGUAUAUACAAGUGGCCGUAGUAGUUAGUACCUAGAUAUGAUCAGGUGUAGAAGAUUAGAAUGAAAAUUUGUAUUAUUCAUGAAGUACUGUACGAAUGUCGCUGGCCUACGUUUCAAGUAAAAAUUAAGAUCUACCCUUCAUACACAAGAUUCAGCCAACGAAGGGUGCUUUUAAUUACUCUGACAGAUUUUAUUGCAUGUCUUCCGAAUUCAAUUCAAUCAUUUAUCUUGGCAUGCAGUAUAUGCGUGUGGAAUUAACUUGUGGUCUAUUGUUGAGCGUGGCUCCCAUACAUAGACCAUGCAUACUCCCCACAAAAAUAUGUUGAAAAGAACUAUGGGGAUCCAUGCCAGUACCUACCUGGUACCUAGUUUUCUUCAUUAUAUAGCUAUUAUGAUUGGCGAUGAAUUUUUCAAUAUAUUUAAUUUUGUAUUUAUAUAUUUUUUUCUCUAUCAACACUUGAAAAAUAUCAAAUUUACUGGGUAUUACAAAAGUAUUUACCGUGUUUAACUUAUAUUUUCUUGUUUCUUAUUAUGUAGGGAAUGAAGUGAGCACUGAUGGAAAGGUUUUAAAUGAAGAGUUAGCAAAACCUAAUCUACAAGGACAUGAUGAAGAAGCAAAGUUUAAAGGAUUUAUUCCAAAGCCAAUUCCCAUAGUGAAGCCUAUUCCAAAACCAUUUCCCAUCAUUAAGCCUAUUCCAAAGAUAAUUCCUAUCGCCAAACCUAUUCCUAUUCCGAUUUAUAAGCCUAUAUCAAAAUCAAUUCCCAUUAUUAAGCCUGUUCCAAAGAUAAUUCCCAUUAUUAAACCAAUUCCAAUUAUUAAACCUGUACCAAAACCAAUUCCCAUUAUUAAGCCUGUCCCAAAACCAUUUAUAGUGAAAAAGCCUAUCCCUGUUGAGUCGGAGGAAUUUCUAAAACCAAAGCCUUUCUUCAAAAAGCCUAUUCCUAAACUACCACUUCACCCUAAAUUCAAGAAACCAAUUCUACCAUCAUUGCCAAUUCACAAGCCAAUUCCA
rnacentral:lncRNA from 1 species